CGAAUAACGGUGAAGAGGAGCAGUAGCGGGCCCGACGGACGGCAGAGAGUUGACGGAUGGUGCGAGUCAACCGAAGUCGGCCCGUGAACUCGCCUCGGAGUUGCUGGCGUGAACGGUCAUCGACAGCGCCGGCCGUCCAUCCGCGUUAAGGAAGAAAGCGGGUGCGCCGUUUGGCGCGCCAAAAAGGGUGGUACCGCGGGAAGCGCGCCUCUCGUCCCUUUG
rfam:Geobacillus sp. CAMR12739 Contig49, whole genome shotgun sequence.